UACGAAGGUGGCUAGCGUCGUUCGGAAUCACUGGGCGUAAAGCGCACGCAGGCGGAUCGAUAAGUCGGGGGUGAAAGCCCGGGGCUCAACCUCGGAAUUGCCUUCGAUACUGUCGGUCUCGAGUCCGGGAGAGGUGAGUGGAAUUCCUAGUGUAGAGGUGAAAUUCGUAGAUAUUAGGAAGAACACCAGUGGCGAAGGCGGCUCACUGGCCCGGUACUGAAGCUCAGGUGCGAAAGCGUGGGAAGCAAACAGG
rnacentral:rRNA from 1 species